rnacentral:rRNA from 1 species
CCUACGGGGGGCAGCAGUGGGGAAUAUUGCACAAUGGGCGCAAGCCUGAUGCAGCCAUGCCGCGUGUGUGAAGAAGGCCUUCGGGUUGUAAAGCACUUUCAGCGGGGAGGAAGGCGUUAAGGUUAAUAACCUUGGCGAUUGACGUUACCCGCAGAAGAAGCACCGGCUAACUCCGUGCCAGCAGCCGCGGUAAUACGGAGGGUGCAAGCGUUAAUCGGAAUUACUGGGCGUAAAGCGCACGCAGGCGGUCUGUCAAGUCGGAUGUGAAAUCCCCGGGCUCAACCUGGGAACUGCAUUCGAAACUGGCAGGCUAGAGUCUUGGAGAGGGGGGUAGAAUUCCAGGUGUAGCGGUGAAAUGCGUAGAGAUCUGGAGGAAUACCGGUGGCGAAGGCGGCCCCCUGGACAAAGACUGACGCUCAGGUGCGAAAGCGUGGGGAGCAAACAGGAUUAGAUACCCCAGUAGUC